AUGGUUGAAUGCACUUAUUGUAAGUCGCUUUGGAUAAAAGCGGCAGCUAAAUGACAUGUAAUGUAAUGUAAUGAGGGACCUCACAUGUCUGCAGGUACAAAUACACAGUACUUGUGCAGGCUGUUUAGCAAUGGUUCAUUUUGUCACAAAAAGAACUUUGUUUUUGGCCUCUUAGUGUUGUCAUGGCACCCAACCACACACACAUUGCAAGCAUUCCCUGUCUAAAGCUGUGUUUGUACUCAGAGCAGGUGCAGCCUGGGCAGAGUGUGUGUAUGUGUGUGUUUUUCAUGUCUUCAGUUACAUCCAGUACAAAAACAUCACAGUGUUAGAUCAUCUGUAAACCUGUGACGUCCGGCCCGCUCACCAUCAUCACGUUUUUUAUAUCCCAUUUCUGUCACGAAUCUAUCAGACCUGUUGUGUUGUUGCAGAUAUUUUGUGUGUGUGUCUGUUUGUGUGUGUAUCCAUAGAUUUCAUAGCCCAAACCCAGUAUUAAAAUAGCCUUUUACCUGGGCUACUGUGGUGCUGGAUUCCCCCCGGAUUGGUCUGUAUGACGCGCUGUUCUGCCUGCCGUAAUCGCCUCUGCGUUCAUCUUGGCUUGCAGACAUAAUCCAUAGACACGUUCUGAGUGUUGUUAAUCUUAGUUUAUUUCUUACAUAUAAUGUUUUGUUCCCAAUGGAACCAACUCUCUCUUUCCGCGACAGCGGUCAAAACCCUUCCGCUCUCUGGGUCCAACACCUGAUGUUAAUUGUUACCCAAUCAAUUAUAUAGGUGCGCACAGGACCCAAGAACAGCGCCACCCAGUGUACAGAAUAAAAUAAAGACAUUUGAUGUGAACAUUUGGCUCCUACAACCAGGGAAAUUAUUAUGUGAUGUCACAAAAACCCCUUGAUGAAAGUACUUAAGAGAAUUCAGAUUCUAUUGUUUCAUUGAUCGGAAAUCUUAUUUCAUUGAAACACAAUCAAUUUAACAAAUGGCUGAUCAGUAAAAUACAUGCUGAAAGAGCUUCCAGAGGGCAAUGAAAUGAUUGGUCUUUUGUAUUGUAUGAUUGUAUGUAUUUAUGUUGACCUGCAAAUUGCAAAAGACAGGACAGUGAUCAGCUUCAAUCUGAUCACUGUCCAUCCAUCUAAUCUACAAACUACUUAUCCUUCAUACAGGGUCUCGGGGGGCUGGAGUCAUCCCAGCUAACUCUGGCCGAGAGACGUGGUCCACCCUGGACUGGUCUCCAGUCUGAUCCCCAGAGCAUGUCUUUGGACUGUGGGAGGACGCCGGAGUACCCGGAGAGAACAUUCUACCAUGCAGUAGAAUUGGUUUGGAUAUCUAACCAAAGCUGCAGUUCAGGGUCAGAAAAGCACCUUGAUGUUCAGGUCAAUUUAAAACUGUAGUUAAACUAAUUCUAUCAAAAACGAUUGAGCCUCGCUGAUGUUGAAACACCAAACACAAGGUGGGGAAAAAUAUUAUAUAAACUUAUAAAAUUCUAAAUCUAAAACUGAACAAAUAAUCAAAAAGAAAUGCUUCUGGAAAAUGAUUAAGAAAUUGAAUUUUCUGCACAAAAGAGAGAUGGCUUCUGAGAACAUACACGAAGACUCAUUUCACUCAUUUUAUUCUCGUCGCUAUUGGCAGCGAGUAUAAAAACAGGAAUAUCUGAGCGGUGGGAUAAUGGUUACAUGUUGAAUCUCUACAAGGAGUCUCGCUACAACGUUGUUUUAUAGCGUUAGUCCCUAUAAGUCUGCAAUUAAUACAAAAUUUAUGUUAAAUGUAACAAUUAUCAAAUGCAACUGCCGCUCUUAGCAGUACUGCUUCUUCCAGGAUUCCUGCACACACCAGGUAUUGCUCGCUUGUGAUCCAACGAAAUACGCUGGUAAUAUUGGACGCGUGGCUUAGUCAGUGCAGUCCGAUGCCUUCAGUGGUGCGAGACAUCUUUUUGGAUUUCUUUCAUAGAGAAAAGGCACAGCUUUUUUUGUCCACAGGUUUUCAACACAACGUAUAUAUGUAUGAAUGCAUAUGAAUAGGAGGAGCCAGGCUUAUUGGUCUAAGGACCAAGUGGGCGGAGCUUUAUCAAAAAACAUACAACAUUUCCAAUGAAAAUUAGCUAUUUUUCACUGUCAUUCCUAAAGCUUUUAUUUAUUCAUUUUUAAUUUCUAUUGGUGUUUGAUAUUUAAACAUAAUAGAAGUAUUUUGGCCCCAUUGCUUAAUGAUCUUUACAUUUUGGCAGAUAUUCACCAUUAACAAUCACGACAUAGAGAAGAAAACAUAGAGAACAGAUGCUAUGCUAACAGAAUCUCUAAGUGUGUUGCUUAAGUGUUUCGGUGUUUUGGUUUGUAUGUAAGUUCAGAGCUAGAAAAACACUGGGACAGAAGUGAUUAUGAAAAUGAACACCUGUCAGCAAUCUCAUGUUUUUCAGAUUCAAAGCACCAAACAAACCGAAACCCACUCAUGACCCAACAGAACCCGCCAAUCGAAGACAUCUGACACUCUAAACUGAACAUGUUCAUCUAAAAACAAUCCCAAAAAAAGACAUGCAGGUCCUCUCCUCGCUCCCGCUCUCUUGAUGUGAGCAGGAGGAAGCAGGCAGGAUUACUCGCAUCACAGAGGUGGAAACAGAGAGGUUUGAAGCAAAGAGACAACGCAUGAAGGCAGCGCAAAAGACAGGGAGCCAAAAGCUGGAUCCUGUGACUGCAGACACAACACUCCCGCGGUUGUCCCGUGGUUACAAUGGUCUUAUCAGCGGAACAUUUAUCGUCCAAUCAAGCCAGGACAAAAAAAACUGCGUUGGAAUCCGUCAAGCCAAAACCACAUGCGUAUGUGGCCUGGCAUGCAGAGGAAAGAGCGGAGGGAAGGAACCCAGCUGAGACCUGCUAUCGGCCUCUUCUUGUAUUAUUGCCAAUACAAACCCAACAUUUCCUGAUUUUGCUGGUUCAAAAUGAAACCUUUCAAAUCAGAAAUUGGACGAGGUACUUUUACUGCUAUUCACAUCGCAAGGGAACGGAGCUGAAUACAAGCGUAAAGAUCCACCAAAACGCAUUACGCUCCUCCUCAAACCCUUUUCCAAAAUGCUCUGGAUUACAUUUCACCUGAUAUUAUAUUUAGAGUACACAAUAAUGACUCUUGGUUCAUUCACAACGAGGACGUAGAAGGAAACAAUGUCAUCUGCCAUUAGCUGUUUUUUGUCCACUUUCUGAAAGCCCACCGAGAUAUUCAGUUCAUCACCACUGUGUCAAACAUCUUUUGGCUUGCCUCAAAAACAGCCCGGACCAGACGCAGCUGGUAUGUUAUUUUAUUUUGUCGUCUGGUUUUCAUAGCUGGCAGAAUAGAGCCAGGAGGGGCAUCGCUGCCGUCCUCUGGUUAAACAAAACCAGUAUUUGGUUGUUCCAACACAAUGAUGUACCUGUUUUUUCGCGUACAAAAGCAGGGAAGUGCAAUGUGAUCACAAGUGGUCGUUCGAGACACGUUCAGGGUGUGAACUGAUGUACCGUCGACUUGUGAUUGGACAGCAUUGGGAUAACAUGCUGUGCUGGCACCACGGACCGAUACCAGAAGACAGCCUUUGAAUCAAAGUCAGGAGGGGAACCGGUCGGAGGGAUGUGUGGCACAAACGUUAAGUCCUUUCAGAUGAACAACCUUACGUAAAAGGUCUAGUAGCUCCUCAAUCACAAAAUCGACAGAAAUCAACAACCUAAUGACAUGACGUCAUGUGGGUACCUAAACCUAAAGUUAAAUUGUUAAAACUUCCGAUAUAGUUUUGUUGCCCGAGUUUAGCAUUAAAUUGUUAUAUCUAACAAAGUAGUUCCAUCAGUUACUAAAGCUAAGGACACAGUGUUGUUGCCUUGAUCUGAACCUGAACGUGAUUCUAUGUGUCAUCAGUCCACGUCACACACACCGUGCUUCUCCUUUUCCUGAGCUGCAGACACAGCGAAGGGGAGGACAAAGGGGCCGGGGCCACAGAAAGGCGGACCCCCGCCGAGCCGAAGAGGGGGCCGACGUGCCGUACAUUCAGUCAGCGUUAACUGGCUGUUAAUGAGGUCAGCAGCAGAGAGAAAACUCCCCACGUGUAAAAACACCUCAGAAUUCACAUUAGAAAUAAAUACAUUGAACAGCCGAUGGUAAUAGAAGACUACUUUAAUAAAUAGUUUCAUUGUAAGAAAA